CCUGCCGAACCGAAGCGCGUACACGAGCCCACCGCCCCCUAUAUAAAAUCCCCCAGCACGCACAGGAGCCCAAAUAUCCACGGAGCGCACGGAGGAGAACGCCAUCAUCCAUCCAGAUCGGCCUCUUCUUCUUCAGCUUCGCAGAAUCGCAGAUCUUCUCCUCUAGUUAGCUCCCUCAGAGCAAUGGGAGGAGGCAACGAUGGUCAUGGGUACCCACCCGGUGGCCAGGGGGGAUACCCUCCGGCAGGGUACCCGCCGCAGCAGGGAGGUUACCCUCCACAGCAAGGAUACCCGCCUGCACCUGGAGCUUACCCACCUGCACCUGGGGCAUACCCUCCAGCACCUGGGGCUUACCCUCCUGCACCUGGAGCGGGAGGCCCUGAUGGGGAGAAGGGGCUCCUCUCCAACAUCAUGCACGGCGUUGCCGGUGCUCAUGGUGGUGGUCAUGGGUACCCGUCUGGUGGUCAUGGGUACCCAUCUGGUGGCCAUGGAUACCCUCCACAACAAGGGUACCCUCCUCAGCAUGGCUACCCCCCGCAGCAGCAUGGCUACCCUCCACAGCAGCAUGGCUAUCCCCCUGCCGGCUACCCUGGCUCAUCCGGUCACAGUGGUAGCCAUGGAGGAGGAGGCAUGGGCAUGGGCGGCAUGCUGGCUGGAGGCGCAGCAGCUGCCGCCGCCGCCUACGGAGCACACAAGAUCUCUCACGGCAGCCACGGUGGAGGUGGACACAUGAUGGGAGGCAUGAUGGGCGGCCAUGGAGGCUACGGCGGCGGGUACGGCCACCACGGCGGCAAGUUCAAGCACGGGAAGCACGGGCACGGCAAGUUCAAGCACGGCAAGCAUGGGAAGCACGGCAUGUUCGGCGGCGGCGGCAAGUUCAAGAAGUGGAAGUAAUGCGCGCGCUAGCUAGUAGCUUCACAAUGGCUGAUGAAUCAAAAAAAAAUUACCUAAACUCUUUGUGUAGGCUUCCAGAACUUGGUUUGGUCAGGGAAAGCCUUUGAGAUGUAUCUAAGCAGGGUGGUGUGUGGUCGCUGCUCGAUCUCGUGGAGCUUCCAUCCUUUCCUCUAUGAUUUGGCACUCUAGUCUGCGUCUGUGACAAGAUAUGACUUGCUAAUAAGUACCUGAAUUCUGUGUGGCGGUAUGCUUACCCUGUUCUGAUGCUGGUCAUGUGUCGUUGUGCUCUGAAUUGGUGUUGUGUUUGCUUCGCUGGGGCAAAAUUGUUGCUCCUGACCAAACAUGUGGCAAUUUUGCUGCCAUUUUCAACUGUUCGAUGCUCCUCCAAAAGGGCGGGCAAGCAACAUUUUG
rnacentral:rRNA from 1 species